GACGGGGGGGGCUAGCGUUGUUCGGAUUUACUGGGCGUAAAGCGCACGUAGGCGGAUUGUUAAGUCAGGGGUGAAAUCCUGGAGCUCAACUCCAGAACUGCCUUUGAUACUGGCAAUCUAGAGUCCGGAAGAGGUGAGUGGAACUCCUAGUGUAGAGGUGGAAUUCGUAGAUAUUAGGAAGAACACCAGUGGCGAAGGCGGCUCACUGGUCCGGUACUGACGCUGAGGUGCGAAAGCGUGGGGAGCAAACAGG
rnacentral:rRNA from 1 species